CGGCCUAUUUUUGGCACACGGAGGCCCCUCGAAAAGUCUCGCAGCGUUCCGAGUCUGGUGGACGAAUUUGGCCAGCCCCACCCCCCAAGGCUAUAGCCCACCCGUUUUUGUGGCCUUUUUCCGCUGGACGAACUUGGCGCCCCGGCCUUCGGGCAGUUAUUUUUUGGCGCGGCUUUGCCCGCGGCCUAUUUUUGGCACACGGAGGCCCCUCGCAAAGUCUCGUGGCAUUCCGAGUCUGGUGGAGAAAGUUGGCCAGCCCCACCCCCCAAGGCUAUAGCCCACCCGUUUUUGUGGCCUUUUUCCGCUGGACGAACUUGGCGCCCCGGCCUUCGGGUGGUUAUUUUUGGGCGCGGCUUUGCCCGCGGCCAAUUUUUGGCUCACGGAGGCCCCUCGCAAAGUCUCGCGGCAUUCCGAGUCCGGCGGACGAAGUUGGCCAGCCCCACCCCCCAAGGCUAUAGCCCACCCGUUUUUGUGGCCUUUUUCCGCUGGACGAACUUGGCGCCCCGGCCUUCGGGGGGUUAUUUUUGGGCGCGGCUUUGCCCACGGCCUACUUUUGGCACACGGAGGCCCCUCGCAAAGUCUCGCGGCAUUCCAAGACCGGCGGACGAAGUUGGCCAGCCCCACCCCCCCAGGCUAUAGCCCACCCGUUUUUGUGUCNNNNNNNNNNNNNNNNNNNNNNNNNNNNNNNNNNNNNNNNNNNNNNNNNNNNNNNNNNNNNNNNNNNNNNNNNNNNNNNNNNNNNNNNNNNNNNNNNNNNNNGUCUCGCGGCAUUCCGAGUCCGGCGGACGAAGUUGGCUAGCCCCACCCCCCAAGGCUAUAGCCCACCCGUUUUUGUUGCCUUUGUCCGCUGAACGAACUUGGCGCCCCGGCCUUCGGGGGGUUAUUUUUGGGCGCGACUUUGCCCGCGGCCUACUUUUGCCACACGGAGGCCCCUCGCAAAGUCUCGCGGCAUUCCAAGCCCGGCGGACGAAGUUGGCCAGCCCCACCCCCCCAGGCUAUAGCGCACCCGUUUUUGUGGCCUUUUUCCGCUGGACGAACUUGGCGCCCCGGCCUUCGGGCAGUUAUUUUUUGGCGCGGCUUUGCCCGCGGCCUACCAUUGGCACACAGAGGCCCCUCGCAAAGUCUCACGGCAUUCCGAGUCCGGCGGACGAAGUCGGCCUAACUCACCCCCCAAGGCUAUAGCCCACCCUUUUUUGUGGCCUUUUUCCGUUGGACGAACUUGGCGUCCCGGCCUUUGGGCGGUUAUUUUUGGGUACGGCUUUGUCCGCGGCCUAUUUUUGGCACACGGAGGCCCCUCGCAAAGUCUCGCGGCAUUCCGAGUCCGGCGGACGAAGUUGGCCAGCCCCACCCCCCAUGGCUAUAUCCCACCCGUUUUUGUGGCCUUUUUCCGCUGGACGAACUUGGCGCCCCGGCCUUCGGGCAGUUAUUUUUUGGCGCGACUUUGCCCGCGGCCUACUUUUGGCACACGGAGGCCCCUCGCAAAGUCUCGCGGCAUUCCGAGUCCGGCGGACGAAGUGGGCCAGCCCCACCCCCCAAGGCUAUAGCCAACCCGUUUUUGUGGCCGUUUUCCGCUGGACGAACUUGGCGCCCCGCCCUUCGGUGGAUAUUUUUGGGCGCGGCUUUGUCCGCGGCCUAUUAUUGGCUCAAGGAGGCCCCUCGCAAAGUCUCGCGGCAUUCCGAGUCCGGCGGACGAAAUUGGCCAGCCCCACCCCCCAAGGCUAUAGCCCACCCGUUUUUGUGGCCUUUUUCCGCUAGACGAACAUGGCGCCCCGGCCGUCAGGCGGUUAUUUUUUUGGCCCCGCUUUGCCCGCGGCCUAUUUUUGGGACACGGAAGACCCCCCCAAAAUCNNNNNNNNNNNNNNNNNNNNNNNNNNNNNNNNNNNNNNNNNNNNNNNNNNNNNNNNNNNNNNNNNNNNNNNNNNNNNNNNNNNNNNNNNNNNNNNNNNNNNNNNNNNNNNNNNNNNNNNNNNNNNNNNNNNNNNNNNNNNNNNNNNNNNNNNNNNNNCACAUGGAGGGCCCUCGCAAAGUCUCGCGGCAUUCCGAGUCCGGCGGACGAAGUUGGCCAGCCCCAACCCCCAAGGCUAUAGCCCACCCUUUUUUGUGGCCUUUUUCCGCUGGACGAACUUGGCGCCCCGGCCUUCGGGCGGUUAUUUUUGGGCGCGGCUUUGUCCGCGGCCUAUUUUUGGCACACGGAGGCCCCUCGCAAAGUCUCGCGGCAUUCCGAGUCCGGCGGACGAAGUUGGCCAGCCCCACCCCCCAAGGCUAUAGCCCACCCAUUUUUGUGGCCUUUUUCCGCUGGACGAACUUGGCGCCCCGGCCUUCGGGCAGUUAUUUUUUUGCGCGGCUUUGCCCCCGGCCUACUUCAGGCACACAGAGGCCCCUCGCAAAGUCUCGCGGCAUUCCGAGUCCGGCGGCCGAAGUCGGCCGGCCCCACCCCCCAAGGCUAUAGCCCACCCGUUUUUGUGGCCUUUUUCCGCUGGACGAACUUGGCGUCCCGGCCUUCGGGCGGUUAUUUUAGGGUGCGGCUUUGCCCGUGACCUAUUUUUGGCACACGGAGGCCCCUCGCAAAGUCUCGCGGCAUUCCGAGUCCGGCGGACGAAGUUGGCCAGCCCCACCCCCCAACGCUGUAACCCACCCGUUUUUGUGGACUUUUUCCGCUGGACGAACUUGGCGCCCCGGCCUUCGGGGGGUUAUUUUUUGGCGCGGCUUUACCCGCGGCCUACUUUAGGCACACGGAGGCCCCUCGCAAAGUCUCGCGGCAUUCCGAGUCUGGCGGACGAAGUCGGCCAGCCCCACCCCCCAAGGCUAUAGCCCACCCGUUUUUGUGGCCUUUUUCCGCUGGACGAACUUUGCGCCGCGGCCUUCGGGCGGUUAUUUUUGGGCGCGGCGUUGCCCGCGGCCUAUUUUUGGCACACGGAGGCCCCUCGCAAUGUCUCGCGGCAUUCCGAGUCCGGCGGACGAAGUUGGCCAGCCCCACCCCCCAACGCUGUAACCCACCCGUUUUUGUGGACUUUUUCCGCUGGACGAACUUGGCGCCCCGGCCUUCGGGGAGUUAUUUUUGGGUGCGGCUUUGGCUGCGGCCUAUUUUUGGCACACAGAGGCCCCUCGCAAAGUCUCGCGGCAUUCCGAGUCCAGCGGACGAAGUGGGCCAGCCCCACCCCCCAAGGUUAUAGCCCACCCGUUUUUGUGGCCUUUUUCCGCUGGACGAACUUGGCGCCCAGGCCUUCGGGCGGUUAUUUUUGGCCGCGGCCUGAUUUUGGCACACGGAGGCCCAUCGGAAAGUCUCGUGGCAUCCCAAGACCGGCGGACGAAGUUGGCCAGCCCCACCCCCCAAGGCUAUAGCCCACCCGUUUUUGUGGUCUUUUUCCGCUGGACGAACUUGGCGCCCUGGCCUUCAGGCAGUUAUUUUUUGGCGCGGCUUUGCCCGCGGCCUACUUUUGGCUCACGGAGGCCCCUCGCAAAGUUUCGCGGCAUUCCGAGUCCGGCGGACGAAGUCGGCCAGCCCCACCCCCCAAGGCUAUAGCCCACCCGUUUUUGUAGCCUUUUUCCGCUGGACGAACUUGGUGCCCCGGCCUUCGGGCAGUUAUUUUUGAGCACGGCGUUGCCCGUGGCCUACCUUUGGCACACAAAUGCCCCUCGCAAAGUCUCACGGCAUUCCGAGUCCGGCGGACGAAGUCGGCCUGCCCCACCCCCCAAGGCUAUAGCCCACCCGUUUUUGUGGCCUUUUUCCGCUGGACGAACUUGGCGUCCCGGCCUUCGGGUGGUUAUUUUUAGGCCCGGCUUUGCCCGCGGCCUAUUUUUGGCACACGGAGGCCCCUCGCAAAGUCUCGCGGCAUUGCGAGUCCGGCGGACGAAGUCGGCCAGCCCCAUCCCCCAAGGCUAUAGCCCACCCGUUUUUGUGGCCUUUUUCCGCUGGACGAACUUGGUGCCCCGGCCUUCGGGCAGUUAUUUUUGGGCGCGGCUUUGCCCGCGGCCUACCUUUGGCACACAGAGGCCCCUCGCAAAGUCUCACGGCAUUCCGAGUCCGGCGGACGAAGUCGGCCUGCCCCACCCCCCAAGGCUAUAGCCCACCCAUUUUUGUAGCCUUUUUCCGCUGGACGAACUUGGCGUCCCGGCCUUCGGGCGGUUAUUUUUGGGCGCGGCUUUGUCCGUGUCCUAUUUUUGGCACACGGAGGCCCCUCGCAAAGUCUCACGGCAUUCCAAGCCCGGCAGACGAAGUUGGCCAGCCCCACCCCCCAAGGCUAUAGCUAGGGAUGGCAAAAUCCGGGUCCGGGUCCGGGUUUAACGUUUCCGGUUCCGGACCCGGAUGACAAUUUAUGCUCCCGGAUCCGGAUAUAAACCCGGAUUAUUUCACUCCGGGUCCGGUCCGGGUUCAACCCGGAAAAAUCCGGGUUUCCGGAUUGCGGGUUUCAAACCCGGUAGUUGGAUGAAGAUAGAUUUACAGAAGCAAAAAACAAUAGGAUGAAUUCAUGGGAUCACAACCAAUUUUGCUUACUUCAAUAAUAAAAUUUACAAUUAUAUGGAUAUUAUGUGCUAAGAUGCUGCGUUUGGCUAUUAACAACAAGAAAAAAAAUUAAUAAUUACCGAAGUUAAGCAAAAGCAAAAAAUUAAAAGAGAAAUACAGAGAAACGAAAGAAAAUUUCAGGUCGCAGCUAAGGCGGUGAUGGGCCAAUGAAAAAUAUGAUUGCCGGCGAGAAGGGGUUAGCAACUAGCAGCAAAGCUUGCUCUUUGGAGAGAGAUGAGACCGAAUUUGACGAUGGUGGAGCUGGGUUUUUGAUAAUAAUGGAUGAUGAAUUGAGAUGAUUUAAUUGAUGAUGUAUUGAUGAACUUGGUCGUUGGGGAUGAAGAAGACGAAGAUUGAGGUGGCAGUCGCUAGGGAUGAGGGAGAUGAGGUUUGAGGUGGCCGCUGGGGAUGAGUGAGAUGAAGAUGGAGAUGAAGAUUGAGAGAUGAACUGAUAAAGAUUGAGGGAUUGUUUUGUUUUGCUUAUGUUCCCCCCUCCCCUCAACAAGGUGGCGGCUGGUGCAAUUGUUUUGUUUUGCUUUAGGGUUUUACGGGUUUUUCUUGUUUGCUUUUAUUUUUUUUUUCUUGCCCAAUUUAUUGUUUAAUGCUUAUAUAUUUUUUAGUUAGUAAUAAAAAUUAAUAAAUAAAUAAAUGGUAGUCCGGGUCCGGGUUCCGGAGAUCCGGGUUCACCUAAACCCGGACCCGACCCGGAAUAUAUCCGGGUUUGAAAAAUUACAACCCGGAUCCGCAUUAUUAAUGCAUCCGGUGCGGGUUGAACCCGUACCGGAUAAUCCGGGUUUAUCCGGGUCCGGGCCGGGUCCGGAAAAAUUUGCCAUCCCUAGCUAUAGCCCACCCGUUUUUGUGGCCUUUUUCCGCUGGACGAACUUGGCGCCCCGGCCUUCGGGCAGUUAUUUUUUGGCGUGGCUUUGCCCGCGGCCUACCUUUGGCACACAGAGGCCCCUCGCAAAGUCUCAUGGCAUUCCGAGUCCGGCGGACGAAGUCGGCCUGCCCCACGCCCCAAGGCUAUAGCCCACCCGUUUUUGUGGCCUUUUUCCGCUGGACGAACUUGGCGUCCCGGCCUUCGGGCGGUUAUUUUUGGGCGCGGCUUUGCCCGCGGCCUAUUUUUGGCACACGGAGGCCCCUCGCAAAGUCUCGCGGCAUUCCGAGUCCGGCGGACGAAGUUGGCCAGCCCCACCCCCCAAGGCUAUAGCCCACCCGUUUUUGUGGCCUUUUUCCGCUGGACGAACUUGGCGUCCCGGCCUUCGGGCGGUUAUUUUUGGGCGCGGCUUUGCCCGCGGCCUAUUUUUGGCACACGGAGGCCCCUCGCAAAGUCUCGCGGCAUUCCGAGUCCGGCGGACGAAGUUGGCCAGCCCUACCCCCCAAGGCUAUAGCCCACCCGUUUUUGUGGCCUUUUUCCGCUGGACGAACUUGGCGCCCCGGCCUUUAGGCAGUUAUUUUUUGGCACGGCUUUGCCCGCGGCCUAAUUUAGGCCCACGAAGGCCCCUCGCAAAGUCUCGCGGCAUUCCGAGUCCGGCGGACGAAGUCGGCCAGCCCCACCCCCAAAGGCUAUAGCCCACCCGUUUUUGUGGCCUUUUUCCGCUGGACGAACUUGGCGCCCCGGCCUUCGGGCAGUUAUUUUUGGGUGCGGCAUUGCCCGUGGCCUACCUUUGGCACACAGAGGCCCCUCGCAAAGUCUCUGCCAUUCCGAGUCCGGCGGACGAAGUCGGCCUGCCCCACCCCCCAAGGCUAUAGCCCACCCGUUUUUGUGGCCUUUUUCCGCUGGACGAACUUGGCGUCCCGGCCUUCGGGCGGUUAUUUUUAGGCGCGGCUUUGCCCGCGGCCUAUUUUUGGCACACGGAGGCCCCUCGCAAAGUCUCGCGGCAUUGUGACUCCGGUGGACGAAGUCGGCCAGCCCCACCCCCCAAGGCUAUAGCCCACCCGUUUUUGUGGCCUUUUUCCGCUGGACGAACUUGGUGCCCCGGCUUUCGGGCAGUUAUUUUUGGGCGCGGCUUUGUCCACGGCCUACCUUUGGCACACAGAGGCCCCUCGCAAAGUCUCACGGCAUUCCGAGUCCGGCGGACAAAGUCGGCCUGCCCCACCCCCCAAGGCUAUAGCCCACCCGUUUUUGUGGCCUUUUUCCGCUGGACGAACUUGGCGUCCCGGCCUUCGGGCGGUUAUUUUUUGGCGCGGCUUUGCCCGCGGCCUAUUUUUGGCACACAGAGGCCCCUCGCAAACUCUCGCGGCAUUCCAAGCCCGGCGGACGAAGUUGGCCAGCCCCACCCCCCAAGGCUAUAGCCCACCCGUUUUUUGUGGCCUUUUUCCGCUGGACGAACUUGGCGCCCCGGCCUUUGGGCAGUUAUUUUUUGGUGCGGCUUUGCCCGUGGCCUACCUUUGGCACACAGAGGCCCCUCGCAAAGUCUCACGGCAUUCCGAGUCCGGCGGACGAAGUCGGCCUGCCCCACCCCCCAAGGCUAUAGCCCACCCGUUUUUGUGGCCNN
rnacentral:lncRNA from 1 species